rnacentral:rRNA from 1 species
CCUACGGGUGGCAGCAGUGAGGAAUAUUGGUCAAUGGGCGCGAGCCUGAACCAGCCAAGCCGCGUGAAGGAAGAAUGCCCUACGGAUUGUAAACUUCUUUUAUAAAGGAAUAAAGUCAGGCACGUGUGCCUUUUUGUAUGUACCUUAUGAAUAAGCAUCGGCUAACUCCGUGCCAGCAGCCGCGGUAAUACGGAGGAUGCGAGCGUUAUCCGGAGUUAUUGGGUUUAAGGGGAGCGUAGAUGGGUUGUUAAGUCAGCUGGGAAAGUUGGCGGCUCAACCCUAAAAUUGCAGUUGAUACUGGCGGGCUUGAGUACAGUAGAGGUAGGCGGAAUUCGUGGUGUAGCGGUGAAAUGCUUAGAUAUCACGAAGAACUCCGAUUGCGAAGGCAGCUUACUAGACUCCCACUGACGUUGAUGCUCGAAAGUGUGGGUAUCAAACAGGAUUAGAUACCCGUGUAGUC